rnacentral:rRNA from 1 species
AAGGAUCAUUAGUGAAUUGUAACGGGGUUUGAUGCUGGCUGCCAUUCUUUGGUUUGCAUGUGCCCGCCCCUCAACAAUCCUUUUUCAAACACCUGUGCACCUUGUGACAAUGAUAGGGGGGUUUCCCUAUCCAUUCUUGUCUCAUUAUUCCUAAACGCUGUUUGCAAUGUUGAAUGUGUUUGUGGCUUUAACAAAAUACAACUUUUGACAACGGAUCUCUUGGCUCUCGCAUCGAUGAAGAACGCAGCGAAAUGCGAUAAGUAAUGUGAAUUGCAGAAUUCAGUGAAUCAUCGAAUCUUUGAACGCACCUUGCACUCCCUGGUAUUCCGGGGAGCACACCUGUUCGAGUGUCGUAAACUUAUCAAGCUGGGAUGUUUUUUCUCUGGCUUUGGUCCAUUGGGCUUUGCCGUGUCCUUCAUUGGGAACGGCUGGCCUCAAAAGUAUCAGCUGGCUCAUGUGGGAUUGGUUUUCUACUUGGCGUGAUAAUUAUCUGACCGCUGAGAAAAAGUAUCCCUUUGGGGAUUGCCAAUUUUCAUAUGGGUUGCUUCUAGUCUGAAGCUUUUUUGCUUCAUAUUUUAAACUUUGGCCUCGAAUCAGGUGGGACUACCCGCUGAACUUAA